GGCGAUGAAGGUGCACUGCCAAUCCAGGUUCCUGGGGACUCCAUGCCUGUCCCAGGGCAUCUUCCUCUUGUUUCUUCUGAUCCAGACGGGAUGUGCCUUUUACUACGUGCUUUUUAGGAUAAAGAAUAAAGAUGGCUUCAAGCGACUCUUCUAACAGGAGAUAAUUCAACAAAGAGAAAGAAUCCUCCAGAAUCCUCCAAGGUGGGGACCCGGGCUGUGACUAUAUUUACUCCAGGAAAAACAAAACAAUACAAAAAAAAUGAUUUUUCCUCUCCACUGA